rnacentral:rRNA from 1 species
GUACACUCCUGCGGGAGGCAGCAGUGGGGAAUUUUGGACAAUGGGCGAAAGCCUGAUCCAGCAAUGCCGCGUGAGUGAAGAAGGCCUUCGGGUUGUAAAGCUCUUUUGUCAGGGAAGAAACGGUGAAAGCUAAUAUCUUUUGCUAAUGACGGUACCUGAAGAAUAAGCACCGGCUAACUACGUGCCAGCAGCCGCGGUAAUACGUAGGGUGCAAGCGUUAAUCGGAAUUACUGGGCGUAAAGCGUGCGCAGGCGGUUUUGUAAGUCUGAUGUGAAAUCCCCGGGCUCAGCCUGGGAAUUGCAUUGGAGACUGCAAGGCUAGAAUCUGGCAGAGGGGGGUAGAAUUCCACGUGUAGCAGUGAAAUGCGUAGAUAUGUGGAGGAACACCGAUGGCGAAGGCAGCCCCCUGGGUCAAGAUUGACGCUCAUGCACGAAAGCGUGGGGAGCAAACAGGAUUAGAAACCCGAGUAGUCCCA